UACGAAGGGGGCUAGCGUUGCUCGGAAUUACUGGGCGUAAAGGGCUUGUAGGUGGCCAACUAAGUCAGACGUGAAAUCCCUCGGCUUAACCGGGGAACUGCGUCUGAUACUGGAUGGCUGGAGUGUGGGAGAGGGAUGCGGAAUUCCCGGUGUAGCGGUGAAAUGCGCAGAUAUCGGGAGGAACACCAAUGGCGAAGGCAGCUCGCUGGGACGGUACUGACGCUGAGACGCGAAAGCGUGGGGAGCAAACAGG
rnacentral:rRNA from 1 species